rnacentral:rRNA from 1 species
AUGCUGAUUCCUCUCAGGAAGAGGCAGAGACCAGCCAUGCAGACGCAGCAGAGUAUAAUUUCCUCCGGCUCAGAACCCUUACCAACCAACAAAAUUCGAUGGGUCGUCCGGAAGGUGAAUUUUUGUCAUCCUCUUGCUCACUUGGAUCCCAACUUUCUUUUGAAGAAACAACAAAACGAUUCAAGACGCCCGACCCGGAGUAGCGGCUUUCACGACCUCAUCUCCGGCUUGCCUAACCCGCCUGUUCCUUGCAAGCGUCGACAUAAGGUUCCACAUAACCCAAAUUCUCUUUAUCCAUUAGCCGGCCUCAUACGUCAACCUCUUAAUCCUUCCAACUCAAAUUAUCAGAAGACGCCUCCGUCAUCCGGCGACUCUUCCGGGACUCAGAUGGCCACUUUCAAGAUCGCCCAAGGAGGUAUUGCCAAAGCAGGCAAGAAACAGAAGCUGGGCGGGUCUUCAAAGGAUCCCAAAACUGCUGAACCAGAGAAGCAGUCUGCAGAUAUUUCUGAGGCCCUCACCCAAGACCCGGCAAAACCUAUUAAUGACCCGCCACUGUCAAUCGAUGCCACCGUCCCUGAGGAAAUGGAUACUGAAUUUGAAAUGGAUACUGAAUUUAACCCGGCGGCCAGCCAUGACCCGCCGAGCCCCAAGUCGUCGACUCCUCCAAAGCCAGCUAAAGCGAUCCCUCUUGAAAAGGACUCUAAUGACGUGACCAUCACUGGGACGACUCAUACAGCUCCAGGGGCUUCCAAUGUGCUAGCUAAGCAUGGUACCAAAGAAGAAUCUCCUUCCUUGGACAAAGGCAAGGGGAAGCUGGACCUGGAAAGCUACACUGCCCUCAGUGCAAGCGACAUCCACGCAGGCUAUCUGAACCGCCUUCAUACUAGUCGUGACCUGGAAGCCGGCUUAGUGAACCUUAUGAAGGAACGCUAUGAGGUAGAAUUGAACAUGAAGGAAUCGCAAGUUGGCGAUUUAAGAAAAAGUUUAAAGCUGCAGCAGACAGAAACCUCCAAGGCCAAGUCCGAGCUGAAGGCCUCAUUAGAAGAAAUUGAGAAAGUUAAAGCAGGUUUUGACAUUGAGAGAUCCGCCUAG